rnacentral:rRNA from 1 species
UCCUACGGGGGGCAGCAGUUAGGAAUAUUCGGCAAUGGGGGAAACCCUGACCGAGCAAUGCCGCGUGCGAGAUGACGGCCCUAUGGGUUGUAAAUCACUUUUCUUUGGGAAGAAUUGUAAGCAUAGGAAAUGAUGUUUACUUGACGGUACCUUUUGAAUAAGCCCCGGCUAACUACGUGCCAGCAGCCGCGGUAAUACGUAGGUGGCAAGCGUUAUCCGGAUUUACUGGGUGUAAAGGGCGUGUAGGCGGGAAAGCAAGUCAGAUGUGAAAACCAUGGGCUCAACCUGUGGCCUGCAUUUGAAAC